UCCGAGGGUGUGUGGACCAGGUCCCUGUCACCUGAAACAAAACAUCAUUUGGAGAGAGACGUCAUGUUAGGUUUUCUUUAAUCCCCUUCCUGGCAGAGAGAGCUUGCUUCACUUCAUCACAAACAUCUGUUUUACGUUUAGCCUACCGGACAAAGUGAAAAAGAAAACAUAUGAGAAGAAAACCGCAUAAUCCCGCAAUACGGGUCAGAGAAGGGUGGGAUGGGUUAAAGACGACUACAGCGGUCAUGAUGCAAUAGAGACAGCUGGGGGACAACAGUGUGUUUCCGGCGUCCUGGAACGCACCCGGUCUGGUUGCCGGGCGAAUUAGCUUGUUGGGAGAUCGAUGUUCACCCGCACCUGUAUUCCAUCAGUAAUCUGCACACCUGUCCUGAUCAUCACCUCUCCCCUUCAAAAGCUCUGACCCGACAUCCAUUCCCUGCCGGAUCGUUAGCCAUGAACAUUACUCACUCGGAUCAUUUACCCCAUUCCCGCCUGGUCGUCGGAGGAUACCGCUACCCCAUUGGAUCCACCUAUUUACUCCCAUCAACUCACCACCGCUGCCCGCUACGCCACCUGGAUAUAUCUACCCAUUCACAUUCACUUGUAAAUAAAGACUCACAUUCUUCCUACUCUCCUUGUCCUGGUCUGCUUCUGGUUUCGAUUUUGAAAGAACGUGACAAAUUGUGUGUAAACUUGUAUAGUCAAAUUAAUCUAUGAUCGUAUGCUAUCCAUUUGUUUGUAUACUGUUCUUUGUAUGACAUUUUAAUAUUUGAUUAUUAACCAAAUGAUAUUAGGCCACUCCUGGCCAUGAUUACAGACACCUGUGUCUUUUGACACUAUAUAAAACGAGUCAUCCCGCAGUGUUUGUGAUUAUACCCUGACGAAGACGAAACGUUGGUAUUAAAGUUUUGCAUCUGA